rnacentral:rRNA from 1 species
UACGUAGGGGGCAAGCGUUGUCCGGAAUUAUUGGGCGUAAAGAGCGUGUAGGCGGCCAGAUAAGUCCGCUGUGAAAUCUCGAGGCUCAACUUCGAGCUGUCGGUGGAAACUGUCUGGCUAGAGUCCGGAAGAGGAGAAUGGAAUUCCUGGUGUAGCGGUGAAAUGCGCAGAUAUCAGGAAGAACACCAAUGGCGAAAGCAGCUUUCUGGGACGGUACUGACGCUGAGACGCGAAAGCGUGGGGAGCGAACAGG